AUUUUUCGUCAACAGCAGUUCACCUAGUGAGUGUUGAGACUAUGGGUCUGAGUGAAGCUGAGGGUAGAGGGAACACAGGGUUGGAGUAGUUUGUCUCUUUGGGCUGACAGGCUUUGUCACCCACACACACAUCCAGAGGUGCCCACGAGUGUAUUUGGCGAGAAGCUUCGAGAACAAGUUGAAGAGCGACUGUCCUUCUAUGAGACUGGAGAGAUACCACGAAAGAAUCUGGAUGUCAUGAAGGAAGCAAUGGUUCAGGCAGAGGAAGCGGCUGCUGAGAUUACUAGGAAGCUGGAGAAACAGGAGAAGAAACGCUUAAAGAAGGAAAAGAAACGGCUGGCUGCACUUGCCCUUGCAUCUUCAGAAAACAGCAGUAGUACUCCAGAGGAGUGUGAGGAGACGAGUGAAAAACCCAAAAAGAAGAAAAAGCAAAAGCCCCAGGAGGUUCCUCAGGAGAAUGGAAUGGAAGACCCAUCUAUCUCUUUUUCCAAACCCAAGAAAAAGAAAUCUUUUUCCAAGGAGGAGUUGAUGAGUAGCGAUCCUGAAGAGACCGCUGGCAGCACCAGUAUUCCCAAGAAAAAGAAGUCUUCACCCAAGGAGGAAACAGUUAAUGACCCUGAAGAGGCAGGCCACAGAAGUGGCUCCAAGAAAAAGAGGAAAUUCUCCAAAGAGGAGCCGGUCAGCAGUGGGCCUGAAGAGGCGGCUGGCAAGAGCAGCUCCAAGAAGAAGAAAAAGUUCCAUAAAGCAUCCCAGGAAGAUUAGAAUGCAAAUGGACAUUCUCUGGGAGGUGGGGCAUACCAUAGCCCAAGGUGACAUUUCCCACCCUGUGCCGUGUUCCCCAAUAAAAACAAAUUCACAAAA
rnacentral:sRNA from 1 species